CUCCAGACUCCUACGGGAGGCAGCAGUGAGGAAUAUUGGUCAAUGGCCGAGAGGCUGAACCAGCCAAGUCGCGUGAGGGAUGACGGCCCUACGGGUUGUAAACCUCUUUUGUCAGGGAACAAAGGCGGGGACGUGUCCCCGGAUGAGUGUACCUGAAGAAAAAGCAUCGGCUAACUCCGUGCCAGCAGCCGCGGUAAUACGGAGGAUGCGAGCGUUAUCCGGAUUUAUUGGGUUUAAAGGGUGCGUAGGCGGACGCUUAAGUCAGCGGUAAAAUUGCGGGGCUCAACCUCGUCGAGCCGUUGAAACUGGGUGCCUUGAGUGGGCGAGAAGUACGCGGAAUGCGUGGUGUAGCGGUGAAAUGCAUAGAUAUCACGCAGAACUCCGAUUGCGAAGGCAGCGUACCGGCGCCCAACUGACGCUGAAGCACGAAGGCGUGGGUAUCGAACAGGAUUAGAUACCCUUGUAAU
rnacentral:rRNA from 1 species